AGCAGCCGCGGUAAUUCCAGCUCCAAUAGCGUAUAUUAAAGUUGUUGCAGUUAAAAAGCUCGUAGUUGAAUUUCGGGGUCAGUAGGUUGGUCAUGCCUUCGGUAUGUACUGGUCUCACUGAUUCCUCCCUCUUGAAGAACCGUAAUGUCAUUAAUUUGAUGUUGCGGGGAAACAGGACUGUUACUUUGAAAAAAUUAGAGUGUUUAAAGCAGGCUCACGCUUGAAUACAUUAGCAUGGAAUAAUGAAAUAGGACGUUCGAUCCUAUUUUGUUGGUUUCUAGGAUUGACGUAAUGAUUAAUAGGGAUAGUUGGGGGCAUUAGCAUUCAAUUGUCAGAGGUGAAAUUCUUGGAUUUAUUGAAGACUAACUACUGCGAAAGCAUUUGCCAAGGAUGUUUUCAUUAAUCAAGAACGAAAGUUAGGGGAUCGAAGACGAUCAGAUACCGUCGUAGUCUUAACCAUAAACUAUGCCGACUAGGGAUCGGAUGAUGUUAAUUUUUUAAUGACUCAUUCGGCGCCUUA
rnacentral:rRNA from 1 species